rnacentral:tRNA from 1 species
AAUGAAUUGCCUGAUAAAAAGGAUUACCUUGAUAGGGUAAAUAAUGCGACCUCAUCGCAUUCAUUA